GUCAACAACCCAGGGCUAAAGCCACGCUUGCUUAAGCGCCUAAAUUUUAGCCAAUAGUUGACCCGGCUAAGUACCGAAGCGUACUACGUUAACGGCAAGUGUUCAAGUCCUACCUUAGAAUGCGUAGCCAGUUCUGAGCUUCUAGA
rnacentral:sRNA from 19 species